rnacentral:tRNA from 1 species
GGUGAAGUUCCCGAGCGGCCAAAGGGAUCAGACUGUAAAUCUGACGGCUCUGCCUUCGCAAGUUCGAAUCUUGCCUUCACCACCA